GUGAAUCAUCAAAUUUUUGAACGCAAAUUGCACUCCCUGGUAUUCCGGAGAGUAUGCCUGUCUGAGGGUCAGUUUAAAUAAAAAUUGGUGUGGUUGCUGAAUUUCGUGGUGACGGACCGGAUUUGGGUCGUCUUGCUUUCGGUUAAGUGACUUAAAAUUUUGCUUGUUUUUGUUCGAACAUAUUUAAAUGAUUUUUUGUAUGUUUGUGAUGUAGAAUACUAGGUGUGGUAAUACUCGU
rnacentral:misc_RNA from 1 species